rnacentral:misc_RNA from 1 species
AGUGAGCCUGCUCGCGAUAGCGGUGAGUCAGUUACCGCUAUGUCGGAUAUGACAACGCUAUCGCGAGCAGGCUCACU